GAAAGCGGGGGACCGUAAGGCCUCGCGCGAUUGGAGCGGCCGAUGUCAGAUUAGGUAGUUGGUGGGGUAAAGGCUCACCAAGCCAACGAUCUGUAGCUGGUCUGAGAGGACGACCAGCCACACUGGAACUGAGACACGGUCCAGACUCCUACGGGAGGCAGCAGUGGGGAAUUUUGGACAAUGGGCGCAAGCCUGAUCCAGCAAUGCCGCGUGCAGGAAGAAGGCCUUCGGGUUGUAAACUGCUUUUGUACGGAACGAAACGGUCUGAGUUAAUACCUCGGGCUAAUGACGGUACCGUAAGAAUAAGCACCGGCUAACUACGUGCCAGCAGCCGCGGUAAUACGUAGGGUGCAAGCGUUAAUCGGAAUUACUGGGCGUAAAGCGUGCGCAGGCGGUGAUGUAAGACAGUCGUGAAAUCCCCGGGCUCAACCUGGGAAUUGCGAUUGUGACUGCAUCGCUGGAGUGCGGCAGAGGGGGAUGGAAUUCCGCGUGUAGCAGUGAAAUGCGUAGAUAUGCGGAGGAACACCGAUGGCGAAGGCAAUCCCCUGGGCCUGCACUGACGCUCAUGCACGAAAGCGUGGGGAGCAAACAGGAUUAGAUACCCUGGUAGUCCACGCCCUAAACGAUGUCAACUGGUUGUUGGGUCUCU
rnacentral:rRNA from 1 species